UACUAAUAACGCUACCGCGUUACUAAUAAUUAUUGUCUGUGCAUUCCUCUCCCUUUGUCCCAUCUACCUUGGUACUAAAGAAGCAAGUUGGCGGCAGGUUAUAGGAAUAAUCAUAGGCGGUUCGAGGAUUGUGGAAGCAGGUGGGCGAGGGAGAGAAUAAAAUGGCGCGCGAAGCGCGCCGCGAUUUUGACCACGCCCACUAUUUCCCGCUGCGCGGAACUACAUUUUCCCGUAAUAUUAGGGGCCUCGCAAUAUUUAAUUUUUCAACCAUUGUCAUCCUCUGUGCAUGUGCCGUGAGUGUGACUUCGUGAUUGACUAUGAGACUUUAGUCUCGCUAGCCAGACCAUUCCCCAGCCUACAGCCAUUUACGUCCACCCCAAUGACUGUAGGCUGGGGAAUGGUCUGGCUAGCGAGACUAAUCAGACUCAGCAUCACUAGAAGUAGAAGUAUCACAAGGAAGAUCAUAAUCAUUAGUCUCUAACUCUGUGAAAUCAACUGACACUAGAUCUGGCUCAUCUAUAGAAAUUUCAGGAGGCAAGAAAGAAUUAUGCUGACGCUUGGUUGCCAUUGCAAGAAAUGAUUACAAAAUUAACAUUCAAAAUAUUCAUGAAAAGUUAAUUUUAAUAACAAUAAUAAUUAAUUUUAAUGAUUAUGAUGACUUCCUUUUCCUGUCAAAACUUCAGGGUGGGCAUUGCCCCUUAAUGCCCACCCCUGGAACCGCCUAUGGGAAUAAUGGCAGAACUGUAAUGCCUCUGUCAAUAUUAAUGGCUAAAAAAUCAAACGUCAUUAGUCUCGUAACCUGCAAGUGAUUGUGACGAGUUGGACUAUUUCAAAUGGUUAAAGGUUUAUUUUCAACGGAUAUAAUAGUAGAUGAAGGAAUAUCAAACCCACAUGUGGAAGUGUCAACACCGGAGGAAGUUACAGACACUUCUAUGUUACAGUUUUGGUGUCCUAAGACUGGUCUUGAGAUUGAAGAAAUUCCUUAUGACCUUUUUUUUUAACACUGAAAAUAACUAAUAUAUACAUAAUAUUUUGAUUCAUCAUGAUACUUAAUGAUAAAAUCAAUGAUACUUUAGUUUAAUGAUAUUUGAAAUGAUCAUAAAA
rnacentral:lncRNA from 1 species